rnacentral:tRNA from 1 species
GGGUCGGUAGCUCAGUCGGUAGAGCGGGGGCCUUUUAAGCCCACGGUCCUGGGUUCGAGUCCCAGCCGACCCA